rnacentral:rRNA from 1 species
UGAACGCUGGCGGCGUGCCUUACACAUGCAAGUCGGAUGUGUCGCAAGACACAUGGCAGACGGGUGGAGUAACACGGUAGGGAAACUUACCUCUUAGGUGGGGAAUAACGCUACCGAAAGGAGCGGUAAUACCGCAUGAGACCUAUCGCGUGGGAUGCGAUAGAUAGAAAGCGUGGGGAUCGUAAGACCUAGCGCUGAGAGAGAGUCCUGCGUCUGAUUAGUUAGUUGGUGAGGUAACGGCUCACCAAGACUUCGAUCAGUAGCCGGCCUGAGAGGGCGAUCGGCCACACUGGAACUGAGACACGGUCCAGACUCCUACGGGAGCAGCAGUGGGGAAUCUUGCGCAAUGGGCGAAAGCCUGACGCAGCAACGCCGCGUGGGUGAUGAAGGUCUUCGGAUUGUAAAACCCUGUCGUUAGGGACGAAGGCAUGAACCCUAAUACGAUUCAUGUUUGACGGUACCUAGAAGGAAGCCCCGGCUAACUCUG